AUACGUAGGGAGCGAGCGUUGUCCGGAAUUACUGGGUGUAAAGGGAGCGUAGGCGGGACGGCAAGUCAGAUGUGAAAUACAUGGGCUCAACCCAUGGGCUGCAUUUGAAACUGCUGUUCUUGAGUGAAGUAGAGGUAAGCGGAAUUCCUGAUGUAGCGGUGAAAUGCGUAGAUAUCAGGAGGAACACCGGUGGCGAAGGCGGCUUACUGGGCUUUUACUGACGCUGAGGCGCGAAAGCGUGGGGAGCAAACAGGAUUAGAUACCCUGGUAGUCCACGCUGUAAACGAUGAAUACUAGGUGUGGGGGGACUGACCCCCUCCGUGCCGCAGUUAACACAAUAAGUAUUCCACCUGGGGAGUACGAUCGCAAGAUUGAAACUCAAAGGAAUUGACGGGG
rnacentral:rRNA from 1 species